AUGGCAGCCUCCACCUGGCAGUCCUACGGAUAUUUACGGGAUGACACAAGCCAGGCACGAGGCACAGACUGCGCCACGUCCCGGGGAGGUUCGGCAGUAGCACGCCAGGAGCGCAGCCCUCAGCCUCGCCAGCAGGGCCUGGGUGCCACGAUCCGGGCACGCGGCCCCACCAUGAGCUCCGCGGGGAUGGAAGGAGAAAGCCCUCCGAAGGUGUACGAGAUGCAGGUGGGGCAGCAGUGGGCUGGCAGCGGGCGCACGGUGAGGCCGGUGGUGUACAGGCUGGAGGAGAGCGAGUACCGGCGGCUGCUGAAGGAGGCAGAGGAAGGCCCCGAGGAGGAGUGGGAGCCUGAGAAUGAGGGGCUCGGACCGCAGGAGGGCUGCCCAGGGAAUGGGGUGACAGCGAGCCCCAGGCUCCAUCGGAUUGACGUGCUGCGGGGAGCCCCGCUGUGCCGCUCGUACUCGGAGAGCAGCGUGGAGCUGCGGGCGGCGAGCAAAGCGCCGGGCUGCCCCAUGGAGGGUGGCAAACCCCGCGUCCCCGCCAGAUCAGACAGCUUCGAGCUGAUGGAUUACAUCCUGCAGAGCAGGCAGGAGGCGGGGGCACCGCUGUCCCACAGCCCCCGCGACGGAUUCACGCAGGUGUUGGGCUUUGCACCGUGCCAGAAUGGAGAGGAUGGGCAGCUCGCAAAGAGUCGGGCGGCCAGGGAUGCUCCAAAGCUUUCAAGACAGAACAGCACCCAGGUGCCGGAGAGCAGGGAAUGGCUCGGAGCAGACAUGGAUAUGGAGAUGCUGGAGUCAUACAGUCAGAAAAAAUCACCUCCGGCCCCACCGGUCAGGUCGCACAGUAAGGAGAGCCUGGCGCUGAGCAUGAGCAAGACCGUGGCACUGAGCGAGGCGCUGCUGGAGCCCUGCGGCCCCACAGCCCAGCCAGGAGGGAAGGAGCCAGAAGGAGGGGGCCCAAAGGAGCAAGGGAGGAAGAGCGAGGAGGAGGAGGAGGAGGAGGAGAAAGUGCUCAAAGUCGCCGACGCGAAGAAAACCUUUGAGAAGGCAAAAGCAGAGGGGAAGGCAGCGACUGGCAGCACCCGGAAAGGUGAGGGGGGCAAUGGGGGGGGGAGCGGGGCACAGCUGCACAAAAUGGGCAGAAAGACAAGGGUCUGCAGGGUGGGGGAUGCGGGGCACGGCUGCGUCCUGCAGAGCUGUGGUUGUGUGAGGGAAGGAAUUGCGAUGGGUGCCAGCGGAACUGCUGUGUGA
rnacentral:lncRNA from 1 species